GUAAACACAUAGAAGAGAAGAAGUAGCAAGCGGAGAUGUUCCAGAGAGAUUGCGGGUGGUGGAAGCAAUCAUAUCAACGCUUACGAAAUGCAUCUCCGAGUGGCCUUGGCGACACGUAGUCAAGGACGGUUCACAGACGUUACCUGUUUCAAGGCAGAAAUUGCAAACAAAAGUGGGACCACGUAAAAGCGUCUUUUGA
rnacentral:ncRNA from 1 species